UUCAUUAAAACGCCUUUAUAUAUUACCUAGAGAAGUACAGAGCUACAUUAACUACAUGCAAGUAGACCUCAUUUCGAUUCAAAAAAAUGGAAUGUCUUCUAUUAUAGGAGAAGACAUCUGAAUUGGGCUCCCAUUUUUGUGAAAUAAUCCCAAUCAAAUUGCAAAUUCUCCUGUUUUUGCAGACUCCUCCAACUACAGCUACAACUAUACGACCACAACGCCGCUGCUCGCAUCAUAAUUGCCAUACACUUUCAAAGUUUCUAUUCCCCAGCAAAGUGUAUCUCAGUUAGUGAUCCUCUCUCAUCGUUUAAACCAUAACUUGCGUCACUCCAAAUUCGCUUUGGAUUAUUCCAACUAAAGCCUUUACUUUAAAAAAAAAAAUGAAUAAAAAGGUGUGCAGAUGAUAAUGCAGUACUCUUUUCAGAAUGCUGGUCGCCAAGUAUAAUGUCGUGUCCUUCAUAAAGUUUCCAGCUUUGGAUCCCAAUUUUUUUCUUUGCUUCUCAGUGGAUCAGGAAGAGUGCAAUUUCAAAAAAGUCGGUUCACCCACUUCAUAACAAUGUUUUACUGAAUUCCACAGGCUGGGUUCGUAAAAGAGCAUAUGACGCUUGCAAAAAAAAAUAUGCCCAUUUCCAACUUUUGCUAAUUGCGUAUGAUGACAAACAAAAAGAAGUAAAGAGGCGCGAUGGUAGAACUGGGGAGCUUUCAAAUCAAGUUUACUGCAUUCAGAAGCGUGUAUUGCUUUAGUAGCUUUAACUUUGUUCCCACAAAAUAACCUUUCAGAGCAUGCUUGCACAUGCUUGUGCCUUUCCCUUGCUCACCGGCACAACACUCCUUUCUCCCAAAAAGUAGAGCACAUGAUUAAUUUCGUUUCUGAUCGAGCUCCAGCAUUCAUUGUGGCCUGAAUCAAGUAGUUGAAGAUAAAUGUAGCCUCCUCAUCCUCGAGGGAUUGGAUUCAGAAUUGUAAAAAGAAAACCCCACCAGCUAGUGCUAUCAUAUUUUUAUUGUUGAAGAAGCCCAUCGUGAUCGCGUUGGAAAUGGAAGCCACCAAUAACAAAAGGGAAGAAGAGCACCCAUGGCGUAGUGGAUGGGAUAGUGGGAAUAACAAUAAUGGCCGUACGGCCUCCCUCUGCUUUCAUUUGGAAUGCCAUACAAGUAAUUUGGCUCAUAAACUAUGAUUACAACUUAAAUGGCUAGCUUUUCAUCCUCCAAAGUAGUAAGAUUCAUGGACGGGGACUCAGAGUAGGGCCAAUCAGGGCUCGGGCAUCAACCUUCCGGAAAGAAAUGUGGGUGAAGUGAAAGGUCCUAGCACGAUAGAGUAUCAAUAGAUUUGACCAAAGAGUGCUGUGGUUUCGAGUAGAAAUGUGAUCAUAUCAUAUCCAAAAAA